rnacentral:rRNA from 1 species
UACAGAGGGUGCGAGCGUUGUUCGGAAUUAUUGGGCGUAAAGAGUGCGUAGGCGGUUAUGGAAGUUAGGGGUGAAAGCCCAGGGCUUAACCUUGGAACUGCUUUUAAAACUACAUAACUCGAAUUCGGGAGAGGAUAGCGGAAUUCUCAGUGUAGCAGUGAAAUGCGUAGAUAUUGAGAGGAACACCAGUGGCGUAAGCGGCUAUCUGGACCGACAUUGACGCUGAGGCACGAAAGCGUGGGGAUCAAACAGG